UAUUAAUUUCCUUCUUUGUUGCAAUUUAUUAGUUUCCUUCUUUGUUGCAAUCUCCAUGAUGUCCAAAUUUACGUCUGGGAUCUGAUUUACCUGAUAGAGUACACAUAGACAACAAAUAAUGAACCAGAUUCACUUUAUCAAUCAUCAAAACUAAUAUAUUCUCCUUUCCCCAGCAACUGGUUCAUGGGGAGAGCAAUUUGUCUUUUGCAUUUACGACCGCCUAUUGAACACAUUAGCAUGUGUUGUUGCAUUAACAACCUGAAAUACAGCCCUUGAGAAGAGAAACAAAGGUGUAUUGUUUAUAAAGGAUAACAUAUGCAAACUACAGACAGGGAAUGUUGGAAACAUGACAUGUGGAUUUGAAAUUGUGUUUCCUGCUCUCCUGGACAAAGCUCAACAUUUAGACAUUGAUAUUCCCUACCAUGCUCCUAUCUUGAAGAAUAUAUGUGCAAGGAGAGACAUGAAAUUUAAAAGAAUUCCUAAGGAUGUUGUGCAUACAAUUCCAACAACAUUAUUGUUUUCACUAGAAGGAUUUCGUGACUUGGAUUGGGAAAGGCUUUUGAAGCUUCAUAUGCCAGAUGGUUCAUUCUUAACAUCCAUUGCCUCCACUGCCUUUGCAUUUAUGGAAACAAAUGAUCAAAAUUGUUUGAGAUAUCUUCAAAGGGUUGUUAAAAAGUAUA